UAAAUAUUACAACAUUAAAUUUGUCAAAAAAAAAUUUGUUUAUUUAUGUAUUAUCAACUAAAAUAUAAAGGGCCUCGAGCUCAUGCGAUUACAUAGAUUAAAAAGACUAUAAUUUUUAUAAUCUUUGUGCGUUCAGAAAUGUUAUCUACGAUUUCUGAGGAAUUUACCAGAGAACGAUUUUAGAACCCCUUAUUUAAAUGAAUCAACAAGUUACGAAAGGUAUUUUUUUAGUUUUAUUAGAAAUAGAUUGUUUUGGCGUUCACAAAGUAAUAGUUAAGGAUACUAAUAAUCAUUAAUUGUUAUAAUAAGUUUUAUAAUAAACAAUAAUACCGAAUUGUAGCCAUGUUUGUA